rnacentral:other from 1 species
ACCUUUCUGGGAUGUUCGAUAACUCCUGUUUAUUUUGAACCUACAUUUACUUAAAGGGACUCCUAUAUCUGUGGUUGGAUGACCAGCCUCCUUCGAGUGGACUUCAGAAGAUCACGUGCGGACACCCACCUGGCAUUAGCUAGGCGUCAAAAGAUGGGAGCCGGCAUCCUGGUUAGACU